GAUGAAGAACGUAGCGAAAUGCGAUAAGUAAUGCGAAUUGCAGAAUUCAGUGAAUCAUCGAAUCUUUGAACGCACAUUGCGCCCGGCAGCAAUCUGCCGGGCAUGCCUGUCCGAGCGUCAUUUCUUCCCUCGAGCGCGGCUAGCCCUACGGGGCCUGCCGUCGCCCGGUGUUGGGGCUCUACGGGUGGGGCUCGUCCCCCCCGCAGUCCCCGAAAUGUAGUGGCGGUCCAGCCGCGGCGCCCCCUGCGUAGUAGAUCCUACAUCUCGCAUCGGGUCCCGGCGAAGGCCAGCCGUCGAACCUUUUAUUUCAUGGUUUGACCUCGGAUCAGGUAGGGUUACCCGCUGAACUUAAGCAUAUCAAUAAGCGGAGGA
rnacentral:misc_RNA from 1 species